UAGCAAUGGUGACCCGACGUCUGGAUAGGUCGAAUGAUGGUGAAGCAACAUUCAAGAACCCAUUGAUGUAUGGUUACCGUAUAAUUUAUCCCUUUGACCUUAAUGCUCAAGGAUGAUCUAAGAUUUAACAAUCAAUCCUAGAUAAGUCAUCCAUAUGGUAUUUCAAUCUUUUAAAUCCAUCACAUAGAUUAUCCAGAUCCAGAUUUUGCUAAAUUGAAAUAUAUGGAUACAUUAGCUCCUACUAAUUCGAAG
rnacentral:lncRNA from 1 species